rnacentral:tRNA from 1 species
AAAAAUUUAGUUAAAAUAUAACAUUAGCAUGUCAAGCUAAAAUAGUUGGACCCCCCCAAUAGUUUUUA